rnacentral:tRNA from 2 species
GGGGACGUAGCUCAGUUGGGAGAGCGUCUGCUUUGCACGCAGAAGGUCGGCGGUUCAAAUCCGCCCGUCUCCACCA